UACCUUGGCUUCAUUGGAGAUGAAAGGUCGAACAUGGAAACAUCUUUUUUGAGUCUUGUUGAUCGACAAUGCCCGGGCCGAUCAUCUUUGGUGGGCUAAACAGUAGUCAAGUCGGAUUCAUUCAAGGCUUCGAGGGGGUGGCUAUUGAUCCCGAAGCGGCAGGUCGGACAGAGUCAAUCAGCUCUAGCGGACGGGAAAUGAAAGACAUUGAAUCGGAUGGAAUCAUCUUAGGCUAUUCUUAUGCUGGCUAAUCACUUGAUGACUCGGCUUGCGGUGGAGAAUGAGGGGCUGGAUAUGUUUUUUGAUAGUCGCUCCUAUAAAUGAAUGAAUGGGACUCCUUGGGAAUCGGCAGAAAGAGAUAGGUCGGAUACUAGAAUGCCAUCUGAUCCACCCAAAACUCCUUGACUUUUUCGAGGCAGGGCUUCGAUCGAACCGUUUCUCCUUAUUCCGGAUGGAUGGCCAACUCCUCGAACUGAUGGGUGCAGCAUAUUCAUGGACUGGCAAAGCGAACUAUCAAUUUGAUCAGGAGAGCCUAGAGAGCUCUCUAUCUUUCCCCAAAUUUCGACUAGCGCGGUUGUUAAGAGGCUUAGGAUAGGCUUCGCAGUUGGCUCGGACUAGCUAAGCAGGCGGGCGGUUACCUAUAUCGUAGUAGGUAGGGAGGAAUGCACUGCUGCUAUUGUAGAGACGAUUGACCAAUAGCUCAUGGCGGGAGUUCAUGCAAGGCUAUGGAGGAGGGAAGGGAGAUUGUUCGAGCAGCCCCAAGUUCAUUGAUUUGAUCGGGAAUGGCCC
rnacentral:lncRNA from 1 species